rnacentral:rRNA from 1 species
AUUUAACCUUCGGGUUGGAUGCUGGGGAGCGGCGAACGGGUGAGUAACGCGUGGGUUAUCUGCCCAGGAGAUCGGGAUAACAGCCCGAAAGGGCUGCUAAUACCGGAUGAUUCCGGUGUUCACAUUGUGAGUACUGGACAAAGCGUUUAGCGCUCUCGGAUGAGCCCGCGUCCCAUUAGCUAGUUGGUAGGGUAAUGGCCUACCAAGGCUGCGAUGGGUAGCCGGUCUGAGAGGAUGGUCGGCCACACUGGGACUGAGACACGGCCCAGACUCC